rnacentral:rRNA from 1 species
AUACGUAGGUGGCGAGCGUUGUCCGGAAUUACUGGGCGUAAAGGGCGCGCAGGCGGGCAUUUAAGUCAGAUGUGUAAUCUACAGGCUUAACCUGUAGUUUGGAUCUGAUACUGGAUGUCUUGAGUGCAGGAGAGGACAGUGGAAUUCCUAGUGUAGCGGUGAAAUGCGUAGAUAUUAGGAGGAACACCAGUGGCGAAGGCGACUGUCUGGACUGUAACUGACGCUGAGGCGCGAAAGCGUGGGUAGCGAACAGGAUUAGAUACCCUGGUAGUCCACGCCGUAAACGAUGGGUACUAGGUGUAGGAGGUAUCGACCCCUUCUGUGCCGGAGUUAACACAAUAAGUACCCCGCCUGGGGACUACGGCCGCAAGGCUAAA